UACGUAGGCAGCAAGCGUUGUCCGGAAUUAUUGGGCGUAAAGAGCUCGUAGGCGGUCUGUCGCGUCGGAUGUGAAAACCCAGGGCUCAACCCUGGGCCUGCAUUCGAUACGGGCAGACUAGAGUUCGGUAGGGGAGACUGGAAUUCCUGGUGUAGCGGCGAAAUGCGCAGAUAUCAGGAGGAACACCGGUGGCGAAGGCGGGUCUCUGGGCCGAAACUGACGCUGAGGAGCGAAAGCGUGGGGAGCAAACAGG
rnacentral:rRNA from 1 species